UCGGUUCUGUAAUUAGUGGCGCACGGGUGCGUAACGCGUAUGCAACCUACCUUCUAUUGGGGGAUAGCCUUCCGAAAGGGAGAUUAAUACCGCAUAAGACCAUGACCUGGCAUCGGGUAGUGGUUAAAGCUGAGCGAUAGAAGAUGGGCUGUUUGCCAUUAGCUAGUUGGUAGUGUAACGGACUACCAAGGCUUCGAUGGCUAGGGGCUCUGAGAGGACGGUCCCCCACACUGGUACUGAGACACGGACCAGACUCCUACGGGAGGCAGCAGUUAGGGAAUAUUGGGCAAAUGGCCGAGAGGCUGACCCCAAGCCAUGCCGCGUGCAGGAUGAAGGCCUUCUGGGUUGUAACCUGCUUUUAUUCCAGGGAAGAAAACGCUCCUGCGGGAAGUAAACUGACGGUACCUGAUGAAUA
rnacentral:rRNA from 1 species